ensembl:snoRNA
UCAGUAGCCAUUGAUUUUGCUUACCGGUAUGUUUUUCUGCAGAAAUUUAUAAAUGUGUUGCUGCCAAUAACAAAGCUGUGUUAGGAGCCUCAAAAACAAUUGAGAUCAUUAAGGUCCCUGAAAGUGGCUACAGUU